rnacentral:rRNA from 1 species
CCUACGGGAGGCAGCAGUGGGGAAUAUUGCACAAUGGGGGAAACCCUGAUGCAGCGACGCCGCGUGAAGGAAGAAGUAUUUCGGUAUGUAAACUUCUAUCAGCAGGGAAGAGUAGAAGACGGUACCUGUCGAAUAAGCCACGGCUAACUACGUGCCAGCAGCCGCGGUAAUACGUAGGUGGCAAGCGUUGUCCGGAUUUACUGGGUGUAAAGGGCGUGUAGCCGGGUUGACAAGUCAGAUGUGAAAUCCUGCGGCUUAACCGCAGAACUGCAUUUGAAACUGUUGAUCUUGAGUACUGGAGAGGC